ACAGCAGCCGCCGCGGUAAAACGUAGGUGGCAAGCGUUGUCCGGAUUUAUUGGGCGUAAAGCGAGCGCAGGCGGUUUGAUAAGUCUGAAGUGAAAGGCAGUGGCUCAACCAUUGUAGGCUUUGGAAACUGUUUAACUUGAGUGCAGAAGGGGAGAGUGGAAUUCCAUGUGUAGCGGUGAAAUGCGUAGAUAUUGGGAGGAACACCAGUGGCGAAGGCGGCUUUCUGGACUGUAACUGACGCUGAGGCUCGAAAGCCAGGGGAGCGAACGGGAUUAGAUACCCGCGUAGUCCCUGUCUCUUAUACA
rnacentral:rRNA from 1 species